GAAGGGCGCACGGGUGGAUGCCUAGGCGCUCGUGGCCGAGGAAGGACGUGGCGGACUGCGAAAAGCCUGGGGAGCUGUCGAGCAAGCGCGAGAUCCGGGGAUAUCCGAAUGGGGCAACCCGCUGGGGUCAUGCACCGGCACCCAGACUGUCCAAGGUCUGGGAGGGCACCGCGGGGAACUGAAACAUCUCAGUACCUCGAGGAAAAGAGAAAGCAUUCCCCGAGUAGUGGCGAGCGAAAGGGGAGGAGCCCAAACCGCUGCUGUGGACAGCCGUGGCGUUGCAGCAGGGGGGUUGAGGACCGCGCCGACGGGGCACACGGACCCGUCGACAGUGACGAGACGCGCCCAGCCGAAGGCCGUUGGAAGACGGCGCCAGAGACGGUGAGAGCCCGGUAGGCGAACGGCGUGGCUCGCUGGCGCGGUCCGGAGUACCGCGGGACACGGGAAUCCCGGCUGGAAGCGGGGGGCCCACCCUCCAAGGCUAAAUACCACGAGCGACCGAUAGCGGAAGAGUACCGUGAGGGAAAGGUGAAAAGCACCCCGGGAGGGGAGUGAAAGAGACCUGAAACCGUGUGCCUACAAGCCGUCGGAGCGCAGUGGCGUGUCCCGGGUGACGGCGUGCCUUAUUGAAGAAUGAGCCGGCGAGUUACUCGGCGUGCGGGCGAAGCAGGGGACCUGCGGGCCGAAGCGAAAGCGAGUCUGAAAUGGGCGGAAGUGGCCGGGGUGAGACCCGAAACCGGGUGAGCUACCCAUGGCCAGGGUGAAGCGUGGGUAACGCCGCGUGGAGGCCCGCACCGUAUGCUGUUGCAAAGGCACGGGAUGAGCUGUGGGUAGGGGUGAAAUGCCAACCGAACCCGGAGAUAGCUGGUUCUCCCCGAAAUGCAUUUAGGUGCAGCCUUGGGCGAGCUGCCUGAGGAGGUAGAGCACUGUAUGGGCUAGGGGGCGAUGGCUUACCGAACCCAACAAACUCCGAAUGCCUCGGUGUACGCCGGGAGUGAGACGGCGGGGGAUAAGCUUCGUCGUCGAGAGGGAAACAGCCCAGACCAGCAGCUAAGGUCCCGAAGUGCAGGCUUAGUGGGAAAGGAAGUGGUCGCCGAGACAGCCAGGAGGUUGGCUUAGAAGCAGCCAUCCUUGAAAGAGUGCGUAAUAGCUCACUGGUCGAGCGCCGAUGCGCCGACAAUGUACCGGGGCUGAAGUCUGCCACCGAAGCUCGUGGAUCGCGCUGGCGACUGGUAGGGGAGCGUCUCAUCGGCGGUGAAGCGGACUGGAAGGACCGUGGAGCGGGAGACAGUGCGAAUGCCGGCAUGAGUAGCGCAAGGGAGGUGAGAAUCCUGCCCCGCCGGAAGCCUAAGGGUUCCUACGGAAGGUUCGUCCGCGUAGGGUUAGUCGGGCCUAAGCCGAGGCCGAAGGCGUAGGCGAUGGACAGCAGGUCAAUAUUCCUGCACCGGCCUCGAUGCUGAGCACGACGUGACGCUGGGGGAGCAGGGCUUGACGUGGCGCUGGAGAUGCCGCGUGGCGAGGCGCGAGCCUUGCACGAGUGGGGUGGCGACACCCGCAAGCGAGCGGUGCCCGGCCGAGAAAAGCGUCGUGGGAGUCGUGGGCCGCCCGUACCGCAAACCGACACAGGUAGGCGCGGUAAGUAGCCGCAGGCGACGGGUGAUCCCUCGUUAAGGAACUCGGCAACUUGGCCCGUAACUUCGGGAGAAGGGACGCCCCUGGUGGUAGCCGAGCGCGACGAGCCUGGGAGGCCGCAGGAACCGGCCCAGGCGACUGUUUAACAAAAACACAGGUCUCUGCGAAGCCGCAAGGCGACGUAUGGGGGCUGACGCCUGCCCAGUGCCGGAAGGUUAAGGGGAGGGGUGCGAGCGCCCGAACCGAAGCCCCGGUGAACGGCGGCCGUAACUAUAACGGUCCUAAGGUAGCGAAAUUCCUUGUCGGGUAAGUUCCGACCCGCACGAAUGGCGUAACGAUCUGGGCGCUGUCUCGACGAGGGGCCCGGCGAAAUUGCACUCAGCGUGAAGAUGCGCUUACCCGCGACUGGACAAAAAGACCCCGUGGAGCUUUACUGUAGCUUGGCGUCUGGCCGUGGGUCGUCGUGCGUAGGAUAGGUGGGACGCGAGGAAGCUGCCCUUGCGGGGGUGGUGGAGCGGCCGGUGAAAUACCACUCUCGACGGCUUCGGUCCUAACCUCACGGAACGGCGUGGGGGACGGCGCCUGGUGGGCAGUUUGACUGGGGCGGUCGCCUCCUAAAGCGUAACGGAGGCGCCCAAAGGUUCCCUCAGGCCGGAUGGAAAUCGGCCUUGGGCGUGCAUUGGCAGAAGGGAGCUUGACUGCGAGGCGGACGAGCCGAGCAGGGACGAAAGUCGGGCAAAGUGAUCCUACGGCACUGCGUGGAAAGGCCGUGGCUUAACGGAUAAAAGCUACCCCGGGGAUAACAGGCUGAUCCUGCCCAAGAGUCCACAUCGACGGCAGGGUUUGGCACCUCGAUGUCGGCUCGUCGCAUCCUGGGGCUGGAGCAGGUCCCAAGGGUUGGGCUGUUCGCCCAUUAAAGCGGUACGCGAGCUGGGUUCAGAACGUCGUGAGACAGUUCGGUCUCUCUCCGUCGUGGGCGCAGGGGAUUUGCGGGGGGUCGUCGGUAGUACGAGAGGACCCCGACGAACGGGCCGCUGGUGUGUGGGUCGUCCCGCCCGGGGCGCUGCCCAGUAGCUAUGCCCGGAGAGGAGAAGCGCUGAAAGCAUCUAAGCGCGAAGCCUCGCCCAAGAUGAGAUCCCCCAUGGAGCAAUCCAGUAAGGCCGCAGGAAGACGACCUGCUCGAUAGACGGCACGUCGACAGCCGGUAACGGUUGCAGCGAAGCCGCACUAAUGG
rnacentral:rRNA from 1 species